rnacentral:rRNA from 1 species
AGUAACGGCGAGUGAAGAGGGAAGAGCUCAAAUUUUUAUUCUAUCUUGUUUUUCAAGGUCGAGUUGUAAUUUGAAGAAGCGUUUUCUUGGAUUUGCAGCCGGUAGAAGAACCUUGGAACAGGACAUCAUUGAGUGUGACAAUCCCGUUUGUGACCGGUUGCUCGUUCAUCUAUGAUACGCUUUCAAAGAGUCGAGUUGUUUGGGAUUGCAGCUCCAAAUGGGUGGUAAACAUCACCUAAGGCUAAGAUAUUGGCGAGAGACCGAUAGCGAACAAGUACCGUGUGGGAAAGUUGAAAAGAACUCUGAAAAUGAGAGAUAAAUAGUACGUGAUUUUGUUGAAAGGGAAACGAUUGAAG